rnacentral:rRNA from 1 species
AUGUCAAACUCCUCUCCGUCCUCCGCGUCGGCCAUUGUCGCCAAGGCUGCGACCGGGUGGCACGACCUCAAGAUCGAGGGGCACUCCCUGACGAAGGGGCUCGGUAUCGGCGAGUUCAUCAGAUCGGAGACCUUUGUCAUCGCAGGCCAUCGCUGGCGUAUCAGAUAUUACCCCGACGGCGCGGCUUCGGACGACGCCGACUGGAUUGAUGUCUAUGUGCAUCGCGAGAACAACACCGACGGCAAGUACAUCAUGGUGAAACUCCACAUCAAUAUACUUGACCACGACGGAGAACCGGUGCAUGCUCUCGGCAAGAGAAGCAAUCGGUUUGAUAGAUGCGGUCCCCAAGAUGCAGUAGGAUUUGACAGACUCGCCAAAAGGAGGGAUUUGGAGGAAUCGAGGUAUCUCAAGGACGAUUGUUUCAGCAUCAGGUGUCACCUCACCGUCAGGAAUGAGAUCCGCACCUUCAAGAGACAGUCUAGCGCAACGACCUUGGUCACCGCCGUACCGCCGUCCAACUUGCACCGGCACCUGCUCGACCUCCUCACGAGCCAACAGGGACAUGACAUGUCUUUCAAGGUGGGUGGUGAAACGUUCCCCGCGCAUAGGUACAUCGUCGCUGCUCGGUCCCCGGUCUUCAUGGCGGAGCUCUUGGGUCCUAUGAAAGAGAAGGCGGCAGCCUGCAUACGGAUUGAUGGCAUGGAAGCCAAAGUCUUCAAGGCGAUGCUUCACUUCAUCUACGCUGACUCAUUGCCUAAGAUUGACGAGGACGAAAAUGUAGAGAUGGCACAGCAUCUACUUGUCGCCGCGGAUAGGUAUAACCUCGAGAGGCUCAAGUUGAUGUGCGAAGAGACAUUGUGCAAGUCCAUCAGCAAAGACACGGCGGCAACUACAUUGGCGUUGGCUGAACAGCAUGGCUGUGAUGGUCUCAAGAAGUCAUGCUUCGAGUUCCUUGCUUCUGUUGACAACCUCAAGGCAGUCAUGGCAAGUGAUGGCUUUGCACAUCUGAAGAGCAGCUGCCCCUCCAUCCUAGAGGUGCUGGUCACCAAUCUAGCUCGCUGA